rnacentral:rRNA from 1 species
GACUAAGAUUGGUGCCGGAGGUAAAUUUGAUAAAGAUUCUUAUAAAGUUUCCGGAGGUCUACACGGUGUUGGGGUUUCAGUGGUGAAUGCUCUUUCCGUUCAUAUGAAAUCGACUGUUUUCAGAGACGGUAAAAUAUACGAACAGGAAUACGAAAGAGGUAAAGCCAUAUAUCCGGUUAAACAAGUUGGGGAAACGGAUAAAAGAGGUACACGUCAGACUUUUUACCCGGAUGAUACCAUCUUCACUCAGACAAUUGAGUUUUCUUAUGAUACUUUAUCAGCGCGUAUGCGUGAGCUUUCCUUCCUGAACAAAGGAAUUACCAUCACCUUCACAGACAAAAGGGAAGUAGAUGAAAAAGGAGAGUUUAAAGUGGAAGUUUUUCACUCAGACGAAGGUCUUAAAGAAUACAUUCGUUAUUUAGACGGUAACCGUGAGCCAAUUAUCUCUCACGUAAUCAGCAUGGAUCACGAAAAAGGGGAGAUUCCGGUUGAAGUUGCCCUGAUUUACAAUACAAGUUAUACAGAGAAUAUUUUCUCUUACGUAAAUAAUAUCAAUACGCACGAAGGAGGAACGCAUUUACAGGGUUUUAGAAGUGGUUUGACAAGAACCCUUAAAAAAUACGCUGAUGCAUCCGGAAUGCUGGAUAAACUGAAAUUCGAAAUUGCAGGAGACGAUUUCCGUGAAGGACUAACAGCUAUUAUUUCGGUAAAAGUUGCAGAACCGCAAUUCGAAGGCCAGACCAAAACAAAAUUAGGGAACAGAGAAGUAGUUUCUCCGGUUUCUCAGGCUGUUGGAGAAAUGUUAGAGAAUUAUCUGGAAGAAAAUCCAAAUGAUGCCCGUAUCAUUAUCCAGAAAGUAAUUUUGGCGGCACAGGCACGUCAUGCUGCUAAAAAAGCACGUGAAAUGGUACAGCGUAAAACCGUUAUGGGCGGCGGCGGAUUGCCGGGUAAACUGUCAGAUUGCUCAGAACAGGAUCCUGCAAGAUGUGAAGUGUAUCUUGUCGAGGGAGAUUCGGCUGGUGGAACAGCGAAACAAGGUCGUGACCGUGCAUUUCAGGCGAUUUUACCCUUACGUGGUAAGAUUCUGAAUGUCGAAAAAGCGAUGCACCAUAAAGUAUUCGAAAACGAGGAGAUUCGUAACAUCUUUACCGCUUUAGGAGUUACCGUUGGUACUGCAGAAGACAGUAAAGC